AGUCGGGGGUGGUGGGAGAAGGAGGAGGCGGCGAAUCACUUAUAAAUGGCGCCGAAGCAGGACCCGAAGCCUAAAUUCCAGGAGGGUGAGCGAGUGCUAUGCUUUCAUGGGCCUCUUCUUUAUGAAGCAAAGUGUGUAAAGGUUGCCAUAAAGGACAAACAAGUGAAAUACUUUAUACAUUACAGUGGCUGGAAUAAAAAUUGGGAUGAGUGGGUUCCGGAGAGCAGAGUACUCAAAUACGUGGACACCAAUUUGCAGAAACAGCGAGAACUUCAAAAAGCCAAUCAGAAAACAAAAAAGAACAAACAGAAAACACCUGGAAAUGGAGAUGGUGGCAGUACCAGUGAGACCCCUCAGCCUCCUCGGAAGAAAAGGGCCCGGGUAGAUCCUACUGUUGAAAAUGAGGAAACGUUCAUGAACAGAGUUGAAGUUAAAGUAAAGAUUCCUGAAGAGCUAAAACCAUGGCUUGUUGAUGACUGGGACUUAAUUACCAGGCAAAAACAGGUAACUUGAAAAGCUACCCAGAUUGUUAAGCUAUAUGAUACAUUCUUGCUAGCAAAAAAAGUUUUUAAAGGAAAGUGUUAUAUUGACUUGAGUUAUUAAGGUAUGACUGAUAAAAUAAUAUUUUAAUUUAGAGGCUGACCACGUUAGAACUACUACCAGAAAGAGUAACUUAGAAGAAUAAAAGUUCACAUAUAAAUUUUAUGAGGUUGUAAUGAUAAAGGUGGAAAUAAUUCAUUUUUGGAGAUUGCUAGGGCAAGAACUCGUUCUGAAAAUUCAUAAAGGUGAAGAAGUAUGUGUCUUAUUGUCAUUGCUAAUGGUAGGCCAUAGAAAGCACACACCACCACCUGCAAGGUAUUCAUGAUCCUGAAAAGAACCUGAAUCUUACUAAGCACCUGGAUCUAUUAUUAGUUUGCAGGAAAUAGGAUGUUUAAUGGAGUGACAUGUUUGUCAAUCAUUGAACUCUAUAAUUGAGAAUUUUAUAGGACAAAUGAAGCUAUUUAAACAAAUGGCAUAGGUAGGGUUAGGGAUAGUUGGGGGAGAUGAUUAGGGACUGCUUGAGGAUUAUGAGACCUAUUAGUCAUAUACAGUACGUGGAUAUAGUUUGAAUUGUGAUUUGAAUCCUUUGGAGGAUUAUGCAAUUACAGCUAAACUGCGAAGAUUCAAGCAUGGCUGUAUCACUUAUUAUUUGUGAGUUUG
rnacentral:sRNA from 1 species